rnacentral:rRNA from 1 species
UACGGGGGGGGCAAGCGUUGUUCGGAAUUACUGGGCGUAAAGGGCUCGUAGGCGGCCAACUAAGUCAGACGUGAAAUCCCUCAGCUUAACUGGGGAACUGUGUCUGAUACUGGAUGGCUUGAGUUUGGGAGAGGGAUGCGGAAUUCCAGGUGUAGCGGUGAAAUGCGUAGAGAUCCGGAGGAACACCAGUGGCGAAGGCGACACGCUGGGCCGUACCUGACACUGAUGCGCGACAGCAUGGGGAGCAAACAGGG